CUCUUAUCCAGAGCGGUCGAGGGACGGGCCCGAUGACGCCGCGGCAACCGGCGACUCCGUCGUGCGGUGCCAACUCCCGCGGCUCCCCUGUGGGGAUGCCGAGAGAUGAGAG
rnacentral:ncRNA from 2 species